rnacentral:rRNA from 1 species
CCAGCCCGCUCAGAAACUACAAAGGAAGUUGACGGGGCCCGCACAAGCGGUGGAGUAUGUGGUUAAUUCGAUGCAACGCGAAGAACCUUACCUGGUCUUGACAUCCCGGAGACCCUUAGGAAACUAGGGGGUGCUUCCAUCUGGAAGAAUCUGGAGACAGGUGCUGCAUGGCUGUCGUCAGCUCGUGUCGUGAGAUGUUGGGUUAAGUCCCGCAACGAGCGCAACCCUUGCCUUUAGUUGCCAGCAGUUCGGCUGGGCACUCUAAAGGGACUGCCGGUGUUAAACCGGAGGAAGGUGGGGAUGACGUCAAGUCCUCAUGGCCUUUAUGACCAGGGCUACACACGUACUACAAUGGCCGAUACAAAGGGCAGCGACACUGCGAGGUGAAGCCAAUCCCGUAAAAUCGGUCUCAGUCCGGAUUGGAGUCUGCAACUCGACUCCAUGAAGUUGGAAUCGCUAGUAAUCGUGGAUCAGCAUGCCACGGUGAAUACGUUCCCGGGCCUU